CAUGCGAACACAAAUGUCAAAAUCAGUCACUUGUGUGUUUGCUGUCGAAUGAUAAAAAUUAAGGAAAACUGUUUUAACAUAAACAAUGCUUGAUUGAAAAUGGAAAGAAAAAUCACGAAAAAACUACACAGCUGCGGGCACAAGCUGAGUAUAUGGAGGAGAAUCCUAAGUUCUCCAGAGGAGUGCCAAUUUUUGGAAGCAGCAGGCAAUCCCUUGAAGACCAAUGGAAGAAAUUAGUUUUUAAAUUAAAUACCAUGGGUCCUUCACAAACCUAAAAAAAUUCAUUUUUUAUUAUUUCAAAAAAGUAAAAAUACAAUCAUACUUACUGGUUGUUA